rnacentral:tRNA from 1 species
AGGAACUUAGGUUCAACUAGACCAAGAGCCUUCAAAGCCCUAAGCGGAAGUGAAAAUCUUCCAGUUCCUG